GGGUGGUGGGAGCGGGCGUUUGGGCGUGACCUGGCCCGACCUGGUCUGACGUGACCCCAGCGGAGCGGCGUGACCCGGGGGGAAGGCGGUCAGGGGUGGACAAGGUGCUAAACGCUGAGACGCCGCGGCGAUGCCUGACCUCGUGACGUGACCUGACCCCUGACCCGGUCGCCAUGGGCUCCAACGGGGACGUCUGGAUGAACGGCGGCAGCGGCGUGCUCCGUAGCGACUCGGUGCCGUCCAGCACGCUGGGCCGGCGCAGGACGAAAUCCGGUCCCAAGCGGGUGACCUUCAAGCUCGAGUCCGAAUCCUCGCCGACAGAUGACACUAUCUCCUUUGCCGAAGCGCCUGCCGAUGGUAUGCCCUCGUGGUGGCCCCGCCCUGCCGACCCGGGUCUGGGUCAGACGGCCGUGCAGACUGCUGGGAGGCCCGCUCAGCAUGCGCAGCCGUCGACAGCACCCUCGUUGGCCGCGACACCCCUGGCGCCCAUCCACGCACCCACCGC